rnacentral:miRNA from 1 species
ACGAACCGUAGAUCCCAUCCGUGG